UUGUGCACACCCUGCCCCGCUCAAGUUGGCUCAGUUGCCAGGCUGCAGAGAAUCCAGUCACCAAUCUAUGCAGGCCCACAAGUUGCCUGAGGGCUUGUUGUUGGGUGGGGCCAGUCUCUGGGGUGGGCUGCCUGCCCUGGCUGAGCUGGAUUAAAUCGGUGCUCUAGCAGGUGGGGCAGACCCUGGGCUAGCAGGCCUCAGGGAGAACUCCAAUGGCGUCUGUGUCAGCACGCCCACACCGGGCCACAACAAUGGCCGCCGCCAGUGUCCCAGUCACCAGAGAGGUCUCACCUCUCACCGAGAUGCACUCAGGGCCUAUCAGGUUGACACAACUAUGGGCAGCCAUAUGGUGGUAUUCUGGCCAAUGAGAUGUAGAUGGAGUCCCUCUGGAAGGCUUCUCUUUCUGUUCACAAAGACAAAGCCCACUUAGAAAAGCCCAUCCCUUUUCCCUUCCCCCUUCUUUUUGACUGGACUGUGGACAUAUGGCCUGAAGCUACAACACCCAUCUUGUGACCAUGAGGCAAUAAAGUAUACGGGAAAAGGUCUACACACACAGGAUCACAGAACAGAAAGAUGAAAAGAUCUUGGGUGCCUGAAGACACUGCAGAUAAGGAAAAGAAGCAUACUCAAAGCCAUAUAGCUAUGGUGGAGCCCAGAAUCAAAGCCAUACCUCGCUGACCUAGAACCUGUGACCUUGCUACAAGCAGAGAGAACCGAGCAGGUUACAACUUAUCCAGAGGAAUGAAUUACUGCUUUUCUUGCUCUUCAAAAAGCCUAAUUUUCAAAAUCUCCCUCAAAAGAUACAUUCCAGUGCUUAAAAUUUCCAAAUGACUGAGAAAUCAGGCUUGAAUCAAAACUGCCUUCUCUCAAUGCUGGAAAUGAAUAAUAAAUUGCCUGUGUCCUAAGCUCAGUAAAUCUUUUCAUGAUGUUUGUAUUCUUUCAGACUGUCACUAAGGUAAGAGGUAGAGAAUUAGAAAUAAUAUCGCUCAGACAUCAGUGAACCACUGCAUUG